GUGUCUGUAGCCUAGUUGGUUAAAGGCAGCACUCUAGCAUGACUCUCAGUUAUAAUGAGGUCGUGAGUUUGAAUCUCACCAGAAACA
rnacentral:tRNA from 1 species